UUAAAGCACCUCGCUUACACCGAAGAGACACCUGUGAAAAUCAAGUUAUUCCGA
rnacentral:tRNA from 1 species